GAAAUAGCUAAGACACAUGCCAAUGUUUUGAUUUACAAGGUGGUUCAACUUUUACCAUACUUACUUUAUGUUGUAUUAUUGUUAUAAACAAAUCUUCGGUGCUUUGGAAAAAUAUGAAAAUAUUUACGAGAACAGCUGUUAAAUGGGUUACACAUUUUUAAUUACACAAAGUAAAUACAAAAUUGAACAUAUUUUGCAAUAUUACCCAAUGAAGGAAUAAUUUCGUUGGUACUAAUUGAACAGACUCACCUGGGAUGUCCAAAUUUUAAUAAGCGACCUUGAAUUUCGUUAACGUGCCAAUUGUAAUAUCAAUAAAAAUAUUAUAAAUACGACUACAUCCCUGUUUUUGUCCCAUUUUAAUCCAGUGCCAAGAAAGUUUUCUACAAUGAGUUUCAACCAAGUUUUACUUAAGGUGUUUGUAAUUUUAUCAAUAUUUGCUGGUUUUUCACUAUGUGUCCCAGCACCUGAACCACACAGAGGAUGGGGUGGAGGCUGGGGCGGAGGUUGGGGUCAUGGAGGAUGGGGACACCGACCAUGGGGCGGUUGGGGAUACGGUGGUUGGAGGCCAGGAGGUGCAAUAAUCAUAGUACCGGUCAGAAGACACUGGUGGUGAAAAACUAAGUAGUUCUGUACUUAUUUAAAUCUAUAAUAAAAAUGUAUUAACACUUGGCGAAAUUUUAUUGAAACUUUCCUGGUCCUUGUUCUUAAUUAUGACCAUUUUAUUUUAAUAAAACUGAGUCGCAUUUUCGUAUUUACAAAAAUGAUUAGUUCUACUCAAAGUUAAAAAUAGAAAAACACCUGUUUAUUGGCCACUUCUGCGAACUACUGGCCAAUAAGAGUGCAAUACUGAAAUACUCAUUGGUUAAGUAAUUAUGAUUUCGGGUAAAUGACCUUGGCAAAUAUGUCUCUCCAAAGUUUGCACAACUUUGCUGUUUAUAAACUUGGCAAAACGCAGUUUUGCAAGUGAAUCGAAAAAUGGACGUUCUUAAGAUUUGCCUUUUGUUAAUCUUUGCAACUGUGUCGCUUUGUAAUCCCCGAGGGGGUGGUGGAGGAGGACAUGGCGGAGGAUUUGGUGGUGGACAUGGCGGAGGAUUUGGUGGUGGACAUGGUGGAGGUUUUGGACAUGGAGGUAUAGGACAUGGAGGUUUUGGACACGGUGGGUUUGGACAUGGAGGACAUGGCUCUUGGGGUCAUGGAUAUAUUGGUGGAGGCGGUUUUGUAAUACCACCAUAUCAUCACCGUAAUCAUCGCAGAAUUGGAUCGUUCGGAUUCGGGUUAGGUUCUUAAGAAUUUAAACACAUAUUAAACUUUAUUAAUUUAAAAUUAUGUAUUAUUUUGUACUAUAAUAAAAAAUAUAAUAAUCAAA